CUCCGUACAUGGAUCGGUCUGCUACAGAGCCCGAGCUAUGAGCAUCUGAGAGCGGAGUGGAAACAGGAAGAGGAGGAAGUGAGGUGGAAGAAAGAAGACAGAGGAGAGAGGAACGGGCCAGACAAGGUGGCGAGGAGUGCAAGGGAGGAAUAGGGGAGCCAAGAGGGGCGUGUGGACCAAAGAGAGCGAAGACAAGAAAAACAGAGAGCUCGCAGAGGAUGACCGUGUCUAUUUAAAGGGACUGCACGGGUCUGCUGUCUAGCUAUUCCUGACGGACAGCGUCAUCGUAUUGGGUCCAGAUUCGGUCUCCUCCUUUCUCAGUGCUCAAGGUGUGAAGUGGAGGGCCUACCAAACACAGACCAAGACUGGCUGCAUGUAUCACCCCGCAGAGCUGUACUCUGGCCGCAACACAUGGGACUCCUAUCCAGCUGGAGGACCUAACAGAGGACAAUGGGCUCCGGAAAACAGUCGCCCCUGGAGCCACACAGAAAGGUCAGCAGCGUUGUUCACAACACUC